CCCGCUGAACUUAAGCAUAUCACUAAGCGGAGGAAAAGAAACUAACAAGGAUUCCCCUAGUAACUGCGAGUGAACAGGGAUUAGCCCAACACCGAAGCCUGCGGUUAUUUGAUCGUAAGGCAAUGUGGUGUUUAGGGUGGCUUCAGGCAUUACUGCUCUGUCCCAAGUUCAGCAAUGAGUACGGCUUCCCAUUCUGGCCCAAAGAGGGUGAAAGGCUCGUGGGGGCAGAGAUCAAGUGUGACAGUUUUGCUCUGAGCUACCCUUGGAGUCGGGUUGUUUGUGAAUGCAGCCCAAAGUGGGUGGUAAACUCCAUCCAAGGCUAAAUACUUACACGAGUCCGAUAGCAAACAAGUACCGUGAGGGAAAGUUGAAAAGUACUUUGAAGAGAGAGUAAACAGUGCGUGAAACCGCUCAAAGGUAAACGGGUGGAGUUGAUCUGCAAGCUCUGGGAAUUCAGCUGAUGAGUGAUGAAUUUUACGAACACACUUUUCCGCAUAACUUUUGAACGGCUCAACCGAUUUCGUUCAUUUAUUUUUUAAUCGAUUUAUCUUGCGAAUAUCUAUCUUUUGAUUUAUAACAUAUAACUGUGUAUCAUCUAAAAAAUAAUUGCGCACUACACCUGGUUCACUAUGGUAUUUGG
rnacentral:ncRNA from 1 species